UGGGGAAUUUUGGACAAUGGGCGAAAGCCUGAUCCAGCAAUGCCGCGUGUGUGAAGAAGGCCUUCGGGUUGUAAAGCACUUUUGUCCGGAAAGAAAUCCUUGGCUCUAAUACAGUCGGGGGAUGACGGUACCGGAAGAAUAAGCACCGGCUAACUACGUGCCAGCAGCCGCGGUAAUACGUAGGGUGCAAGCGUUAAUCGGAAUUACUGGGCGUAAAGCGUGCGCAGGCGGUUUGCUAAGACCGAUGUGAAAUCCCCGGGCUCAACCUGGGAACUGCAUUGGUGACUGGCAGGCUAGAGUAUGGCAGAGGGGGGUAGAAUUCCACGUGUAGCAGUGAAAUGCGUAGAGAUGUGGAGGAAUACCGAUGGCGAAGGCAGCCCCUGGGCCAAUACUGACGCUCAUGCACGAAAAGCGUGGGGAGCAAAACAGGAUUAGAUACCCUGGUAGUCCACGCCCUAAAACGAUGUCAACUAGUUGUUGGGGAUUCAUUUCCUUAGUAACGUAGCUAACGCGUGAAGUUGACCGCCUGGGGAGUACGGUCGCAAAGAUUAAAAACUCAAAAUGAAUUGACGGGGUCAUAGCUGUUUCCU
rnacentral:rRNA from 1 species